UGCUUAGUACGGCGAGUGAGCGGCAAAAGCUCAAAUUUGAAAUCUGGCGUCUUCGACGUCCGAGUUGUAAUUUGAAGAAGGCAACUUUGUAGCUGGUCCUUGUCUAUGUUCCUUGGAACAGGACGUCAUAGAGGGUGAGAAUCCCGUGUGGCGAGGAUCCCAGUUAUUUGUAAAGUGCUUUCGACGAGUCGAGUUGUUUGGGAAUGCAGCUCUAAGUGGGUGGUAAAUUCCAUCUAAAGCUAAAUAUUGGCGAGAGACCGAUAGCGAACAAGUACAGUGAUGGAAAGAUGAAAAGAACUUUGAAAAGAGAGUGAAAAAGUACGUGAAAUUGUUGAAAGGGAAGGGCAUUUGAUCAGACAUGGCGUUUGCUUCGGCUUUCGCUGGGCCAGCAUCAGUUUUAGCGGUUGGAUAAAUCCUCGGGAAUGUGGCUCUGCUUCGGUAGAGUGUUAUAGCCCGUGGGAAUACAGCCAGCUGGGACUGAGGAUUGCGACUUUUGUCAAGGAUGCUGGCGUAAUGGUUAAAUGCCGCCCGUCUUG
rnacentral:rRNA from 1 species